rnacentral:piRNA from 1 species
UGGCAGAAUCUUUCUUCAAAUUGUAGC